UACGUAGGGGGCAAGCGUUGUCCGGAUUUACUGGGCGUAAAGAGCGUGUAGGCGGCCACGCAGGUCCGUUGUGAAAACUGGAGGCUCAACCUUCAGACGUCGACGGAAACCGUAUGGCUAGAGUCCGGAAGAGGAGAGUGGAAUUCCUGGUGUAGCGGUGAAAUGCGCAGAUAUCAGGAAGAACACCAAUGGCGAAGGCAGCUCUCUGGGACGGUACUGACGCUGAGACGCGAAAGCGUGGGGAGCGAACAGG
rnacentral:rRNA from 1 species